UCCAAAUCAAAAUCCCAUUUCAAAACACACAUCAGAGAGAGGAAGAUAAGUUACCAGGAGUUAUAGAGAUAUGAAAGAUCAAAGAGAGGGGAGCUAGUGAGGAAGGAAUUGAGAGAUGGUUUGUUAAGAGAGUGAAAAUUUUCCAAACUCUUUAUACAAUGGUGGGAGAAAAACACAAUUGGGAGAUGAAGGAAAUCCAAACAAUACAAACACCACCCAUUUCGAUGAUAACAAAGGUGCUGGAAACCGGUCAGCAGCAAGAAAGAAAGUACAAACCAAAGGAAAAAACAGGAAAAGGAAACCGAAACAAGAGUCUUUCCUCCUUCAUGUUCUUAUGGUUUUCUACUAAUUUUUAAUCCGCAACAAGAGGGGACUAAAUCUGCCAAAAAUCUACACUUGGGUUGAAGUAAAAGACUCAACCUUCUUCUCAGAUCCAACCAUCUGGCUAAGCUAGAGGGAUAAAUUAUUAUAUAUAAAUAGGCAGAGAAGAAGAAGAAAAUGACGACCACAAGAAAUGGAACCGCUACAAGAUAAAGGAAAUGGAAAAAUCGGUUAGAUUCAGAAUCAGAGUUUGGGAAAAGCCUUACUUGAUUUCUGCUACAAGGAAGAGCUACCGGCUUAUCCGCCGCAGAAAGGGAAGAGAGAAACACACAGAGAAAGAGGGAUAGAGUGAGCUGGGUGAGUGAGUGGUGAAAAAACGUAAAUGAAAAGGUGAAAAAAAAGAAGAAACAGAACUAUCAAACUCACCUAACAAGCUUCUUCCUUUUUAACUGUAGAGAGAGAGGUGGGAAAGCAGAGUAAGAAGGACUGGAGGAGGAAGAAGAAGACAAAUUAUGUGUUGUGGGGUGGGAGGGUUAGCUGCAGCUUUUUCUGGUUUUUGAGUUUAUACUAUUCUUCACUCUUCUUUGCUGUACUAAUUGAUUGUUGUUUUGGUUUACUAGAGAUGGGAAAAGGAAGUCAAAUUUCCACCCAAAGUUUUCUUCUCUGAAAAAUAGGUAGGGAGGGAAUUUAAUUCACUGCAGCUUUCAAGGUAAGACUCUCAGGGUCCCUGAGGAGUGAGGACCCAGAUUCUGACUUCAUCGUGUCACCAGGAAGCAGCUGGGUGUAAGUAGGGAGUGGUUUGGUUUCGAGUUUUGACAUAUGGAGGGGUGAUUUGUUGAACCAUUUGGUCGGAAUAGGAGGUUUCAA
rnacentral:lncRNA from 1 species